AGGUUAAGUGAAUAAGGGCGCACGGUGGAUGCCUUGGCACUAGGAGCCGAUGAAGGACGGGACUAACACCGAUAUGCUUUGGGGAGCUGUAAGUAAGCUAUGAUCCAGAGAUUUCCGAAUGGGGGAACCCAGCAUCUUUUAUAGGAUGUUACACAGUUGUGAAUACAUAGCAGCUGUGAGGUAGACGCAGAGAAUUGAAACAUCUAAGUACCUGCAGGAAGAGAAAGAAAAUUCGAUUCCCUGAGUAGCGGCGAGCGAAACGGGAAAAGCCCAAACCAACAAGCUUGCUUGUUGGGGUUGUAGGACUCCGAUAUGGUAGUUGAAACAGAUAGUCGAAAUACUUGGAAAAGUAUGUCAAAGAGGGUAAAAACCCCGUAGAUGAAAUCUGGCUCACACCUAGGA
rnacentral:rRNA from 1 species